CGAAAAUCGUUUCCAUACAGCGUACGUCAAACGGGAGAUAAAGAACCCUCAUAGUUGCUUCUGCCAACAUCCCUUCGUAACACUGCAAAUCACCAUACUCAUCUCUCUCUCGUUUCAGGUAAAUCUGCCUUCCUCUUUUUCAUCUUCUGUUUUUGAAAAUAAUAUAUUUCCUCUCUCUGUUCAUCUCGUUUCUUAGAAUUUUAGAGGUAAAUCUCUUUUUAGCUACUAUUUUUUAAUAUCGUUCUCCCCUUCAUAUCUCGUAGGUGUUUCAUCUUUCUUCUGAUUCCAAUAUCUGUGUUCUGAUAAAGGUAUAUUUGAUGAUUAUCUAUUCCCAAUUAAAUAAGUACUUAAGACUUUGUCUUUUCGGUAAAUCCACUUCCGGAAUAUUAUAGGGCUUUCCAUAUAUGUUUGGUUAGUACUAAUUGUCUGCUUGGAGAUGAAGGCAAGGCAAUAGAUGAAAAUUAAAAGACACUUACAGGCAGGUAGAAUUUUAUCGAACUAAUUUCCUAUUUCUUUUUUUUUUUAUUUUUUAUGCCAAGGGAACCCACAACCGCUGCUCCCACGGUAAACCCUGCUAUAUUUAUCAUAGACAAGUUAAUAUGUGUAGCAGAGAUGGAUAUAUGGAAGUGCAAAAACAUUGACUUACUUGUAAAAGAAGAGAGUCUAAAACAUUUGGAUUUAUAGUACAAUCACUUGUAAUAUGACUAUACGCUGUAUCAUAAUUGAGAUUGAGACAUAGUUAUGUGAUAUCAUAUUCUGUUUCAAUAUGUAUACAUAUGCUUCUGUAUGUGAGAUAUGUACUGGCAUAACUAAAAGCUAUAUAAUUUUGUGAAGUUUAUAAUAGGUAAUAUAAGUCUAAUGUUAUUUAUAGAAAACCUGCAUAACUAUUAGAUGUAGACCUGUCCGAUCCCGGAAUAAAAUUUUGUAUGUUUCCGCGUUUUCCCCCUUUUCUCUAUUAUUAUUCUUGCAAUAUCUUUAUUCUAGGAUUAAAAGUCUUAAAUUGCGUCCAAAAGAUUAAUUUGCAAGGUGGUGAUUGGCACAUUAUAUCUGAUUCUUCUUAAACGCUAAUUCAAAUUUUUGUAUUUACUUGGUUGUAGCCCCUUGGAUGCUCAUCAUGUGUGGACGAUAUCUGAAUAAGCUACUUGAUGCUUAUCUACCAAAUCUGUAGAGUAGAAUGAUGAACUCAAAAACAUGUAGUUCGACCGAUCUUAAAGCAUAUCACGUUCCUUUUUAAAAAAAUUUGGGCUUCUGAUUUUUCUCUUUGUGGUGUUUUAGGAUUUGAUUAUAAUCACAGGACAUAGGCCUGGUGACGUGGUGCUCUCUAGGAGUAGAAUGACUAUUUAUCUUUUUCCUCAGUUUUUUGCCAUUUAAAAUAUUAUCAAAAACAAUUGUUUAAUUAAAUAAAACUCAGCAAAUCCUUCGGCCUUCGGUUAAAGCAAUCCCAAAAGACGCUAAUGUUUCCGGUUAAAUAGAACUCUAACAGGCACUUCUUUGUCCACACACCUCCUUUCUUCAUGUUCUUUCUUCCCAAUACCUUACAGCGAGUCUCCGACUUUUCAGAUUAUGUAUGUAAAAAAGACUCUGCAUGCGUCCUUAUUUACUUCAUUGCCAGUUUCAAUACAUGGAGUCUUCAGUUCUGCGACGGAUAAGAAGCACACGACCGGUAUGUAUCUCAAUAUUUUACUGAUGUGUAGAAAUUUGUUUCUGCAUUAGCUGCGUUUGCCUCCAUAUACAUCAAACACCGAUUAACUUGAGAUUUAUUUGACUGUUCAUCGUAUUUGGUGUUGCCGAAAGCUGUGAUUAUAAGGAUAAGAAUCACUCCGAGUCAAUUAUUAUUUCAUCACUUGCCUUCAGUGUGCUUCUAUGCUUAUAUACUUUACUCUAUGACAUAAAUAGUUUGGAUUGGACUUUCUCCAUUAUCUCAAUUUGCUGGAAUAAAGUUCACCUAUAGAAUAUAACCAUCAAGCUAAUCAGUGCAAGGAGCAGGAUGAGCUAAUUGUUGCGGAACAAUAACUACGUUAUGCGAGGAAAGAAAUUAACCAGGCUGUACAUCAGGUGAGAGAAGUCGCCAACAUACAUUCAAGUAUGUAGCACUCUCUAUUCUGGACAUUCUUAGCCUUGAGUUGAUCCAUCUGGUUCUAAUUAUAUCUAAUUUGUGGUGUCUUCUGGAUGAUGAUUAAAGAAGAAAGAGAGCAAAAAAAGAGCCACGGGAAAAGAACUAUGAACACUUUGAAAAGUUAUGCUAUGGAAUAAGCAGAAAAACAAAGAGUACUGCAAUGAACAAUCUGAAAACAGUAGUGGAUGAACACAACAUCAUUGACAGGUAAGAGACACACAAAAUGAGGAAUGCCAGAAUACUUGUGAUAUGCAUUCUUCUACUGAUAAGGGUAAGAGAGCAAAGGCACAAGAGAAUACUGGGAAACAAGAUAUGUUGCUCCCGACUAGCCUCAAUACUGCUAAAGGACAAAACAAAGGUGGCAUGACCAUGGUAGACUUGGGUUCCGUAUAAGUUAUACUUAACACCGGACUGAACCAAAGGCAUGGCCCUGACAUCCAAAAUGUCAUUGAACAACUGGUGGUGGAGAGUGAUGAGGACAGUGUUUCAAUGGAGCAUAUACAGAUGAAGAUGAAAAGGUAGCAGACAGUUUGGUACAAACAUUUGCACUUACAUCCAUUGAAGAUGAUUUAAGGUGCAGUUCGGUUCAUGGAAGUUGGGGGGUGGGGGGUAAGAAUUUUGGAUGUUUAAAAUACAGGAAUAACAACUGUCUAAUCCCUUACAUGAGCAAGAAAUUGGGACACCCACUGUAUAUUUUUAUGUUAAUUCGAAAACAUCAAAGUAAAUCCAAAAUGAAUUUACCCGGUACUGGA